ACGACACUACCGCGUACGUAUAUGUAUAUGUAUAAUAAUAAUGCGUGUACGUGGCGCGCGCGACCACCGCCGGCCCACUGCACCGCCCGCCCGCCACCACACGGCCACCGCGCCGUAAACCUCGCUCGCCCCGCGACCCCCGUCGACCGUUCUUCGCGUGCGGCCGGGGUUUUUAUCCCGCAAAACGCGUGCGGCCGCCGCCACCGCACCGCGCGCGGCCGUGCGAUUACCACCGUUGGACGGCGGUGGCGCGCGGGGGAUUUUGAUUGACCGUACCGCGCCCGCUCGUCGUCGCGGCGGCGGCGCGGUCGAGGGUAGGACGGCGGCGGCGGCGGGGGACCGGCGGUACCGUCGCCGCCGCCGCCGUAACGGCACACGCAUCACUCCCACCACGGGCCGGGCGCGGCGGUUUGCGGCCAACCCGUCGACUAAAAAAUGCCCCGCGACCCGACGAGCUUCGGCGCGGAAAGAAAUCGCGCCGGCCGGGGGACGGGCCACCGGCGCGCGGUGACCGCCCAGUUGUGCCGGCGCCCGCGUGCGCGCGAUCGGCGCUCGCGUGUGUGUGUGUGUGAGUGUGUGCGAUUGACUCGGAGGUGACUUGUGCGCGAAUAAUAAUAAUAACUUCGUUUAAAACUUACUGUCGUCGUCGAUAUUAUGACCCUGCCUUGCGGGGCAAGGGUUAACUCGUCACUUGAAAUAUUUUGGUAUUAUGACUUUUCUUCGACGGUGACUCGAGUUCUUAAAACGACGAUAUUAUACUCGAUUAUCGUAUAUUCAGUGUUUUUUUUUCACGUUGACUACGAUUUAUGACUUUAUAAUACGUUAUUGUAUUAAUAUCUUCGAGGAAAUCGACUCGAAAGCUCAAAUACGUUCCUGCGAUAGUGUAGUUUUACACUCGAUUUACAGAAAAUAAACAGAAUAAAAGAAGUCAUUCUGCAGCAGGCAGCACACAACACGCGGUUUAUUGAAAUAUAAAAUAUUAGGUCUUGUCCACAAUAUACUCGAUGUAGAAAAAAACAAGGUAUACGCCGCACAUUGGCUGCUCAUAAUUAAUUGUAUGCAUCCACCUGAAACCGGAUUGUCCUGUCAGUCGAUCACAUAUAUUUAAACAUGCACAUAUGCAUUUAAAUAAACCGUUUGACGGUUUGGAUAUUGCCAGCGCCUAAACGUCCUAAACACUAGACAGUAGACACGUUAAAAAUUUUUCAACCAUGAUAACCAAAGUGCUUUAGGAAAUACUGCAGUUCAAAUAUCAAUAUUGUAUUCAGGCCGAUACAGGCUCUCUGACAUUUUUGUUUUUAUGGGACGCUACACACGUAUUAUA